rnacentral:misc_RNA from 1 species
GAUGAAGAACGUAGCGAAAUGCGAUACGUAAUGUGAAUUGCAGAAUUCAGUGAAUCAUCGAGUCUUUGAACGCACAUUGCGCCCCCUGGUAUUCCGGGGGGCAUGCCUGUCCGAGCGUCAUUGCUGCCCUCAAGCACGGCUUGUGUGUUGGGCCUCCGUCCUCCUCCCGGGGGACGGGCCCGAAAGGCAGCGGCGGCACCGCGUCCGGUCCUCGAGCGUAUGGGGCUUCGUCACCCGCUCUUGUAGGCCCGGCCGGCGCUUGCCGACACAUCAAUCUUUUUUCCAGGUUGACCUCGGAUCAAGUAGGGAUACCCGCUGAACUUAAGCAUAUCAAUAAGCGGAGGA